CUCAAGGUUAGUAGGGACUAGUGCUGCCACGGUGGGCAUUUUGUUGUCCGUGAUUUGUUGACUUCGACGGCCAUUUUGUUUUUUCUUAAAUAGUUUUCUUACUCUCUCUGGCCUGGGAACUGUCAAAAUGGUGAGAUGUCCUUCAGUAAUCUGCUUUUUUUCCAUCCAAAUACCUCCAUUUUCUUUGUAAAAUCUCAAUUAUGGGGUAUGACUAGGGGACCUUUUUCUGAAGAAAUUGCCAGCAUUGGUUAUCUCUGGGUUUUUAUUUAUCGGAAACUAUCAAGGCUGGAAUGAGAAAAGGUUUCUUUGUUUAACAACCUCAUACACACCCAGUUUCAGUUAUAUAUUCUUAGUUUAGUUAUUAAUUUUCCUUCGCUCUUAAGCCUAUGUCAGAAUGGAGAUUGGUUGAUUUAAAUUUCAAUUUAAACUUUUAAAAUUAGAUAUCAUUUAAUUCUUAUAUUUUCACUAUUUUUGUUUGAAAACAGUCUGAAUUUCGCAAAUUCAAUUUAUUUGUUUAAACAAUAACAUUUCAAAUUUCGGAUACUGUUUAGUAUUGAAAUGCAGACGCACCUUUCUUUUCUUGUUUGCAUUUUGGGUUAAAGUCUAUUUUA
rnacentral:lncRNA from 1 species